rnacentral:rRNA from 1 species
UCGAGAAUCUUCCGCAAUGGGCGAAAGCCUGACGGAGCGACGCCGCGUGAUGGACGAAGGCCCUCGGGUUGUAAACAUCUGUCGUAGGGGAGGAAAUUUUGACCGAUCCUAGGAGGAAGCACAGGCUAAGUUCGUGCCAGCAGCCGCGGUAAUACGAACUGUGCAAACGUUAUUCGGAAUCACUGGGCUUAAAGGGUGCGUAGGCGGGCAGGUAGGUCAGAUGUGAAAGCCCACGGCUCAACCGUGGAAUUGCGUUUGAAACCACUUGUCUUGAGGGGAUCAGAGGAGAGCGGAACUGAUGGUGGAGCGGUGAAAUGCGUUGAUAUCAUCAGGAACACCGGUGGCGAAAGCGGCUCUCUGGGAUCUUUCUGACGCUGAGGCACGAAAGCUAGGGGAGCGAACGGGAUUAGAUACCCCCGUAGUCC